AACGCGAAGAACCUUACCAGUCCUUGACAUGUCCACUAUGGGCCUGAGAGAUCAGGUCCUUCACUUCGGGUGGGUGGAACACAGGUGCUGCAUGGCUGUCGUCAGCUCGUGUCGUGAGAUGUUGGGUUAAGUCCCGCAACGAGCGCAACCCUCAUCUUCAGUUGCCCCCGGGUAAGGCCGGGCACUCUGAAGAAACCGCCGGUGACAAGCCGGAGGAAGGCGGGGAUGACGUCAAGUCCUCAUGGCCCUUACGGACUGGGCUACACACGUACUACAAUGGUGGUGACAGUGGGCAGCGAAAGCGCGAGCUGGAGCUAAUCCCCAAAAGCCAUCUCAGUUCAGAUUGCACUCUGCAACUCGAGUGCAUGAAGUUGGAAUCGCUAGUAAUCGCAGAUCAGCACGCUGCGGUGAAUACGUUCCCGGGCCUUGUA
rnacentral:rRNA from 1 species